AUGGGAACGCGAAGAACCUUACCUACUCUUGACAUCCAGAGAACUUUCCAGAGAUGGAUUGGUGCCUUCGGGAACGUCUGAGACAGGUGCUGCAUGGCUGUCGUCAGCUCGUGUUGUGAAUGUUGGGUUAAGUCCGCAACGAGCGCAACCCGUUAUCCUUUGUUGCCAGCGGUUCGGCCGGGAACUCAAAGGAGACUGCCAGUGAUAAACUGGAGGAAGGUGGGGAUGACGUCAAGUCAUCAUGGCCCUUACGAGUAGGGCUACACACGUGCUACAAUGGCGCAUACAAAGAGAAGCGACCUCGCGAGAGCAGGCGGACCUCAUAAAGUGCGUCGUAGUCCGGAUUGGAGUCUGCAACUCGACUCCAUGAAGUCGGAAUCGCUAGUAAUCGUAGAUC
rnacentral:rRNA from 1 species